AGGCCUCAAGUGAUGUGUGACUACCCCCAGAAUUUAAGCAUAUUAAUAAGGGGAGGAAGAGAAACCAACCGGGAUUCCCUGAGUAGCUGCGAGCGAAACGGGAGAAGCUCAGCACGUAGGGACGGUGUGUAACUGCGCCUGUCCGGUUCCGUGUAUUGGACCGAUCCGUUAUCUAUCAUGCACAGUGCAAACAGUUCAAGUUCAACUUGAAGGUGGCUCAUCUACCCAGAGAGGGUGAUAGGCCCGUAGAACGGCACUAACCCACGUGACAGUAGACGGUCGGCUCCAUGGAGUCGUGUUGCUUGAUAGUGCAGCACUAAGUGGGAGGUAAACUCCUUCUAAAGCUAAAUACCGCCAUGAGACCGAUAGCGAACAAGUACCGUGAGGGAAAGUUGAAAAGCACUCUGAAUAGAGAGUCAAAUAGUACGUGAAACUGCCUAGGGUACACAAACCCGUUGAACUCAAUGAUCCGGGCGGUGUGCGAUAUUCAGCGGUACGUUGGCCCACGCCGGGUCGGCUGCCGUGCACUUAUCAAGACCGCAGCAACGGACAUCGCGAUCCAUUACAAUACUCCUACUGGCAAUGGCCCCUAGCUCGUGGUUGGCGGCUCCUCAGUACGGGACGCUCGGCGGCUUCCCGGACCAGGUGUCUCCGCGCCUUUCACACCAGAGAGGCGCAGGGCCCGACCGAGCUUGGUGUGUCGCUGGAAGCGUGAUGGAUUGAUACGAGCGGGGAUGAGAGCGCACGGCCUACUAGCCCGAAGGCCCAUCAGCACUUGACCCUCCGAUCGGCGAUGACCGCAGCAUGCAUUGGGGCACCUACGGGACCCGUCUUGAAACACGGACCAAGAAGUCUAUCUUACGCGCAAGCCAAUGGGCAUACCACAUACCAUGUGCAGAAGUGCUGCCGGUAUAUUAUAACCAUUAAACCCACAGGCGAAGACAACUCGAUUGUCACGGGAUUACGGGCACGGAUAGGUGGCGCAAGCCCCUUAUAGAACCGAGCCCCUCCAUCCCAGGGUGCCCCGAUACGGGUGCUUGCACCCAGCGGGCAUACCCCGAGUGUGCAGGAUGCGACCCGAAAGAUGGUGAACUAUGCCUGAUCAGGUUGAAGUCAGGGGAAACCCUGAUGGAGGACCGAAGCAAUUCUGACGUGCAAAUCGAUUGUCAGAGUUG
rnacentral:ncRNA from 1 species